AGAGUUUGAUCAUGGCUCAGGACGAACGCUGGCGGCGUGCCUAACACAUGCAAGUCGAGCGAUGAUAGCUGUUCACUAAGCUCUUUCUUUUAAAGAGGAAAGAACUUAGUGAACAGCUUGAUUAGCGGCGGACGGGUGAGUAACGCGUGAGCAAUCUGCCUUACACAAAGGGAUAGCCUCGGGAAACUGGGAUUAAUACCAUAUGAAACUUAAAAACCGCAUGGUUAAUAAGUCAAAGAUUUAUCGGUGUAAGAUGAGCUCGCGUCUGAUUAGCUAGUUGGUAGGGUAAAGGCCUACCAAGGCGACGAUCAGUAGCCGGCCUGAGAGGGUGAACGGCCACACUGGAACUGAGAAACGGUCCAGACUCCUACGGGAGGCAGCAGUGGGGAAUAUUGCACAAUGGGCGCAAGCCUGAUGCAGCGACGCCGCGUGAGCGAAGAAGGUUUUCGGAUCGUAAAGCUCUGUCCUUUGGGAAGAAAAAAAUGACGGUACCAAAGGAGGAAGCCCCGGCUAACUACGUGCCAGCAGCCGCGGUAAUACGUANGGGGCGAGCGUUGUCCGGAUUUACUGGGCGUAAAGGGUGAGUAGGCGGUAACGUGUGUC
rnacentral:rRNA from 1 species